rnacentral:rRNA from 1 species
GACGAACGCUGGCGGCGUGCUUAACACAUGCAAGUCGAACGGUAAGGCCCUUCGGGGUACACGAGUGGCGAACGGGUGAGUAACACGUGGGUGAUCUGCCCUGCACUUCGGGAUAAGCCUGGGAAACUGGGUCUAAUACCGGAUAGGACUCCGGACUGCAUGGUCUGGGGUGGAGAGCUUUUGCGGUGUGGGAUGGGCCCGCGGCCUAUCAGCUUGUUGGUGGGGUGAUGGCCUACCAAGGCGACGACGGGUAGCCGGCCUGAGAGGGUGACCGGGCACACUGGGACUGAGAGACGGCCCAGACUCCUACGGGAGGCAGCAGUGGGGAAUAUUGCACAAUGGGCGCAAGCCUGAUGCAGCGACGCCGCGUGAGGGAUGACGGCCUUCGGGUUGUAAACCUCUUUCAGCAUCGACGAAGCGAAAGUGACGGUAGGUGCAGAAGAAGGACCGGCCAACUACGUGCCAGCAGCCGCGGUAA